rnacentral:rRNA from 1 species
UACGUAGGGCGCAAGCGUUGUCCGGAAUUAUUGGGCGUAAAGAGCUCGUAGGCGGCUUGUCACGUCGAUUGUGAAAGCCCGAGGCUUAACCUGGGAAUGGCCGUUGAAACUGGCGAACUGGAGUGUGGCAGAGGGGGGUGGAAUUCCGCGUGUAGCAGUGAAAUGCGUAGAGAUGCGGAGGAACACCGAUGGCGAAGGCAGCCCCCUGGGCUAACACUGACGCUCAGGCACGAAAGCGUGGGGAGCAAACAGG